GACGAACGCUGGCGGCGUGCUUAACACAUGCAAGUCGAGCGGUAAGGCCCUUUCGGGGGUACACGAGCGGCGAACGGGUGAGUAACACGUGGGUGACCUGCCCUUAGCUCUGGGAUAAGCCUGGGAAACUGGGUCUAAUACCGGAUAUGACUCCAUGACGCAUGUUGUGGGGUGGAAAGCCUUGUGCGGCUAGGGAUGGGCCCGCGGCCUAUCAGCUUGUUGGUGGGGUGAUGGCCUAUCAAGGCGA
rnacentral:rRNA from 1 species